AUGAGCACCGAGUUGUUCAGGCGCAUUGCAGAGAAACUAGCGAGCCAUGACCGCUUUUUUCAGCAAAGGAGGAAUGCCGCCGGAGAGCUCGGGCAUAGCACCUUUCAGAAGGUGACAGCCGCUUUGCGUAUGUUGGCAUACAGUAUACCAACUGAUCUAGUUGAUGAUCACUUGGCUAUGGGUGAGAGCCAAGGCAUCAUGUGUGUCAAGCGCUUCGCAGUCGGAAUUGUGCAAGUGUUUGGCGAGGAGUAUUUGAGAUCUCCCAACGCUGAAGACGCCGCAAGGCUUUUAGCGAUGAACAAAGUUCGCGGUUUCCUGGCAUUUUAA
rnacentral:rRNA from 1 species